CCUACGGGGGGCCGCAGUGGGGAAUAUUGGACAAUGGGGGCAACCCUGAUCCAGCCAUGCCGCGUGUGUGAAGAAGGCCCUCGGGUUGUAAAGCACUUUCAGUGAGGAAGAACGCCUGGUGGUUAAUACCCAUCAGGAAAGACAUCACUCACAGAAGAAGCACCGGCUAACUCCGUGCCAGCAGCCGCGGUAAUACGGAGGGUGCGAGCGUUAAUCGGAAUUACUGGGCGUAAAGCGCGCGUAGGUGGCUUGAUAAGCCGGUUGUGAAAGCCCCGGGCUCAACCUGGGAACGGCAUCCGGAACUGUCAAGCUAGAGUGCAGGAGAGGAAGGUAGAAUUCCCGGUGUAGCGGUGAAAUGCGUAGAGAUCGGGAGGAAUACCAGUGGCGAAGGCGGCCUUCUGGACUGACACUGACACUGAGGUGCGAAAGCGUGGGUAGCAAACAGGAUUAGAUACCCUAGUAGUC
rnacentral:rRNA from 1 species